UACGUAGGGUGCAAGCGUUAUCCGGAAUUAUUGGGCGUAAAGAGCUCGUAGGCGGUUUGUCGCGUCUGCUGUGAAAACUGGAGGCUCAACCUCCAGCCUGCAGUGGGUACGGGCAGACUAGAGUGCGGUAGGGGGAGAUUGGAAUUCCUGGUGUAGCGGUGGAAUGCGCAGAUAUCAGGAGGAACACCGGUGGCGAAGGCGGGUCUCUGGGCAGUAACUGACGCUGAGGAGCGAAAGCGUGGGGAGCGAACAGG
rnacentral:rRNA from 1 species